UACGUAGGUGGCGAGCGUUGUCCGGAUUUACUGGGUGUAAAGGGCGUGUAGGCGGUUCUGCAAGUCGGGUGUGAAAUUUCCGGGCUUAACCCGGACGGGUCACCCGAAACUGCGGAACUUGAGUACUGGAGAGGAUAGUGGAAUUCCUAGUGUAGCGGUAAAAUGCGUAGAUAUUAGGAGGAACACCAGUGGCGAAGGCGGCUAUCUGGACAGUAACUGACGCUGAGGCGCGAAAGCGUGGGGAGCAAACAGGAUUAGAUACCCUGGUAGUCCCUGAGCGGGCU
rnacentral:rRNA from 1 species